AAAAGGUACGCCGGUUAAGGAUGAUUAGAUUUAGUAUUAGGUAGUCGGUGGGGUUUAGCCUACCGAGCCAAAGAUGCUUAGUUGGUCUGUGAGGACGAUCAACCACACUGGGACUGAGACAAGGCCCAGGUUUCAUUUGAAGGCAGCAGUAAGGAAUAUUGGACAAUGAGCGAAAGCUUGAUCCAGCAAGGCUUGGUGAGGGAUUGAAGGCUAAGGUUGUAAACCUCUUUUUUAACUGAGGAUAAUGACAUUAAGUUAAGAAUAAGUCCCGACUAACUUCGUGCCAGCAGUCGCGGUAAUACGAAGGGGGCUAGCCUUAUUCGUCAUAACUGGGCGUAAAGGGUCCGUAGGUGGCUCUUUGUAAUGUUAUAGGUCAAAUCCUUUAGCUAAACUAAAGAAGGGUCUUUAAUACAGAAGAGCUUGAGUCUGAUAAAGGAUAAUGGAAUUUUUCAACGAGGGGUAAAAUCCAUAGAAGUGAAAAGGAACAUCAAAUGCGAAAGCGAUUAUUUAGUUCAGCACUGACGCUGAGGGACGAAGGCAUAGGUAGCGAACAGGAUUUGAGACCCUGGUAGUCUAUGCUGUCAACGAUGAAUGCUAGUUUUUAGAUAACUAGAAGCUAUAGCUAAGGCAUUAAGCAUUCCGCCUGAGGAGUACGAGCGCAAGCUUAAAAAUCAACGGAAUUGGCGGGGGUUCAAACAAGUGGUGGAGCAUGUGGUUUAAUGCGAUAAUACGCGCGCAACCUUACCAGUUCUAGUAAGUCUGUCAUUCUUGCGGAGACGUUUUGAAUUUUGGGACUUUCAGGUGUUGCAUGGCUGUCGUCAGCUCGUGUCGUGAGAUGUACGGUUAAUUCCUGUAACUGAGCGCAACCCUUAUC
rnacentral:rRNA from 1 species